AUACGGAGGAUCCGAGCGUUAUCCGGAUUUAUUGGGUUUAAAGGGAGCGUAGGCGGACUAUUAAGUCAGCUGUGAAAGUUUGCGGCUCAACCGUAAAAUUGCAGUUGGUACUGGUCGUCUUGAGUGCAGUAGAGGUAGGCGGAAUUCGUGGUGUAGCGGGGAAAUGCUUAGAUAUCACGAAGAACUCCGAUUGCGAAGGCAGCUCACUGGACUGCAACUGACACUGAUGCUCGAAAGUGUGGGUAUCAAACAGGAUUAGAUACCCUGGUAGUCCACACAGUAAACGAUGAAUACUCGCUGUUUGCGAUAUACAGUAAGCGGCCAAGCGAAAGCAUUAAGUAUUCCACCUGGGGAGUACGCCGGCAACGGUGAAACUAAAAGGAAUUGGCGGG
rnacentral:rRNA from 1 species